rnacentral:lncRNA from 1 species
GGCAGGAGCAGAUUCCAAAGGCACAGGAAGAAGCUUGCAGGUUUCCUUAACGACAACAAAAAAGGGAGUAAUCCUACCUACUGUAAGAGUCAUGACUCUUGAUUGCAGCUGACAGAAGCUCAUGACAGCCUGGUUUAGAUAAAAGGGGAAAGGACGACUGGAAGAAUCUUGGAGUUGGGAAUAUGGCACAUAAUUGAAGGAAGAGCAAUAAAACUAUAAUUCUUCCCGUGGAGACUGGAGUUUCCAGGAUGUGAAAAUUACCUCUGCUUGGGUGAGCUAUUCCAAGCAGCUGGGAUACCUGUGUCACUCCUGCUGUCUGCCAGUGACUGCCCAGCACUUGUAUCUCUGCUUGAGGCCUGCUGCCAUGUGGCUGGUCCUCCUCCUCCUGCCGUGACUGAGCCCCGGGAUGAAGACAGGCAGCUGCUCCCAACCCCAGCAACUUUGCUAUCUUAGAACGGAUCACCAGUGAAAGAGGGGAAGUUGCUACUGUGAUGAAUUCUGCCAUGUGGUACCAGACUGCUGCCCAGACCACAGUGUCCUCUGCAACCCUGGUAACUCACAUACAGGCCUGAUUCCACCUACAGCAAAGCUGGAUGCUAUGGUUGGCAGAGGCAAGCCCCUUGCCUGCACUUCAGGCCAAAGCCGGGAUGUGGCCUAGAUGGUUCCUAAGCUUCUCAGAUGACCAAGAUGGUGCUGCCGAUGGUGUUGAGGACGGAGAACCCACCAAGCCC